rnacentral:misc_RNA from 1 species
AUCUUUUUUUUAUUUCAUAUGAUGAAUGAAAAAUUUUUUUUUAAAGAGUGGGGUUUUAAAUAUAUUCGCAAAACCUCGCUUUCGCUUUGGUUUGCUUUGAAAAAUCAUUAAUGAUCCUUCCGCAGGUUCACCUACGGAAA